rnacentral:rRNA from 1 species
GUCUAUGGCCAUACCACCCUGAACGUGCCCUAUCUCGUCUGAUCUCCAAAGCUAAGCAGGGUCGGGCCUGGUUAGUACUUGGAUGGGAGACCUCCUGUGAAUACCGGGUGCUGUAGGCU